rnacentral:rRNA from 1 species
AGCGGCGGACGGGUGAGUAACACGUGGGUAACCUGCCCAAGAGACUGGGAUAACACCUGGAAACAGAUGCUAAUACCGGAUAACAACACUAGACGCAUGUCUAGAGUUUGAAAGAUGGUUCUGCUAUCACUCUUGGAUGGACCUGCGGUGCAUUAGCUAGUUGGUAAGGUAACGGCUUACCAAGGCAAUGAUGCAUAGCCGAGUUGAGAGACUGAUCGGCCACAUUGGGACUGAGACACGGCCCAAACUCCUACGGGAGGCAGCAGUAGGGAAUCUUCCACAAUGGACGAAAGUCUGAUGGAGCAACGCCGCGUGAGUGAAGAAGGGUUUCGGCUCGUAAAGCUCUGUUGGUAGUGAAGAAAGAUAGAGGUAGUAACUGGCCUUUAUUUGACGGUAAUUACUUAGAAAGUCACGGCUAACUACGUGCCAGCAGCCGCGGUAAUACGUAGGUGGCAAGCGUUGUCCGGAUUUAUUGGGCGUAAAGCGAGUGCAGGCGGUUCAAUAAGUCUGAUGUGAAAGCCUUCGGCUCAACCGGAGAAUUGCAUCAGAAACUGUUGAACUUGAGUGCAGAAGAGGAGAGUGGAACUCCAUGUGUAGCGGUGGAAUGCGUAGAUAUAUGGAAGAACACCAGUGGCGAAAGCGGCUCUCUGGUCUGCAACUGACGCUGAGGCUCGAAAGCAUGGGUAGCGAACAGGAUUAGAUACCCUGGGUAGUCCAUGCCGUAAACGAUGAGUGCUAAGUGU